rnacentral:tRNA from 1 species
CCGUCGAUAGCUCAGUUGGUAGAGCGGGAGACUGUAGAUCUCUAGGUCGGCUGGUUCGAAUCCGGCUCGACGGA